rnacentral:lncRNA from 1 species
GCCCUAGAAAGGGAACUCGGAGGGGACUCACUGACGAAAGGAGCUCCAGAUGGCGGGGGGCCAACCUGGGGCGACCCCCAGCGCCCACUUUCACCAUCUGGACCCCAGCAAACCUCCCUGUGGCCCUUGGUCCCGUCUUCAGCAGCUCCUUCUGGGGUCCCACACCUUCGGAGCCCGGCCCUGCCCCUGAGUCUCUGGAGAGAGCGAGUCAGCAGUUCGCCGCCGCGGGGCUCCCGUUUGCCUAGCACGCCAGUUUCUGUCCAGUUUCACCCCAAAUCCCCACCUCCCCCCACCCCCGAACCUCACGGCCACCCUGGGAAGGAGGCUUGACUUGUGACAUCCACCCCUCUUCACGGCUGAGGAACUUUGGCCCCGAGCGAGGAAGCGACCGGCCCACGGCCACACGCCCGGAGUGGGUAAAUAUCUACUCAUGGGAUUGCUGGGCUGUAUGGGGGCAGCAUCUUCUACUAUGUGCAUCUACAUUGGAUGGCAGUGGAGCAACACAGAUUGUUUUCUGACAAAAAUCAGCCAAGUACUAGGAGAGGCAGGACUUUAGAAGUGGAGGAGAUGGAGAAGGAAGCUUAGGUUACUAUGGAGUGUGCAAAAAGGUCCUGUGGAUUUAGAUACCACCACACACAAAUGGUAUGUAAUACUCACUUGAAGACAAAUCAGCCAGAGGGAUCUAACAGCAUUGACCCAUUCUCUGGUCUUCUAGCAUCCAUCAUAGUUUUGUGCUCCUUUUCCAUGAAACACAGCUGUUGUUGGAAGGUACCUGCCCAGAUAAGGACUGCAUUUCCUCUAGCAUCCAGAUGGGACCAAAUGACUGCUGGCCAAUAGAAGUGAGUGGAAAGGACUGACUCCAGUUCCAGGUUGGGCCUCCAACUGCUCUGGGCACGUCGAUGGAACAGAACACCACCUCCACCCCAAUACCACCAAUUCAACUUUACAUGAAUUAUAAGCGAGAAAUAACUUGGACUGUGUUAAGUCAUUGAGUUUCUGGGGUUUAACUGUUAUUAUAGUUAAGAAUGACUUUAACUAAUAUAGUCAAUGACAUCUAA